rnacentral:rRNA from 1 species
AGUGAACGCUGGCGGUAGGCCUAACACAUGCAAGUCGAACGGCAGCACAGUAAGAGCUUGCUCUUACGGGUGGCGAGUGGCGGACGGGUGAGGAAUACAUCGGAAUCUACUUUUUCGUGGGGAUAACGUAGGGAAACUUACGCUAAUACCGCAUACGACCUACGGGUGAAAGCAGGGGAUCUUCGGACCUUGCGCGAUUGAAUGAGCCGAUGUCGGAUUAGCUAGUUGGCGGGGUAAAGGCCCACCAAGGCGACGAUCCGUAGCUGGUCUGAGAGGAUGAUCAGCCACACUGGAACUGAGACACGGUCCAGACUCCUACGGGAGGCAGCAGUGGGGAAUAUUGGACAAUGGGCGCAAGCCUGAUCCAGCCAUACCGCGUGGGUGAAGAAGGCCUUCGGGUUGUAAAGCCCUUUUGUUGGGAAAGAAAAGCAGCAGGUUAAUACCCCGCUGUUCUGACGGUACCCAAAGAAUAAGCACCGGCUAACUUCGUGC